rnacentral:siRNA from 1 species
UGGUCAUCCAUCUCGUAGGAAC